CCAGACUCCUACGGGAGGCAGCAGUGAGGAAUAUUGGUCAAUGGCCGAGAGGCUGAACCAGCCAAGUCGCGUGAGGGAAGACGGCCCUACGGGUUGUAAACCUCUUUUGUCGGGGAGCAAAGAGAGUCACGUGUGACUCAUUGAGAGUACCCGAAGAAAAAGCAUCGGCUAACUCCGUGCCAGCAGCCGCGGUAAUACGGAGGAUGCGAGCGUUAUCCGGAUUUAUUGGGUUUAAAGGGUGCGUAGGCGGACUGAAAAGGGAGGGAGAAAAGGGGGGGCCCCACCCCCCGCCCGCCGUUGAAACUGACGGUCUUGAGUGGGCGAGAAGUAUGCGGAAUGCGUGGUGUAGCGGUGAAAUGCAUAGAUAUCACGCAGAACUCCGAUUGCGAAGGCAGUAUACCGGCGCCCAACUGACGCUGAAGCACGAAAGCGUGGGUAUCGAACAGGAUUAGAUACCCGGGUA
rnacentral:rRNA from 1 species